rnacentral:rRNA from 1 species
CAGUAGCCACGGUAAUACGAAGGGUGCAAGCGUUAAUCGGAAUUACUGGGCGUAAAGCGUGCGUAGGUGGUGGUUUAAGUCCGUUGUGAAAGCCCUGGGCUCAACCUGGGAAUUGCAGUGGAUACUGGGUCACUAGAGUGUGGUAGAGGAUAGUGGAAUUUCCGGUGUAGCAGUGAAAUGCAUAGAGAUCGGAAGGAACAUCUGUGGCGAAGGCGACUAUCUGGGCCAACACUGACACUGAGGCACGAAAGCGUGGGGAGCAAACAGGAUUAGAUACCCGGGUAGUCCCUGUCUCUUAUAC